rnacentral:rRNA from 1 species
GACGAACGCUGGCGGCGUGCUUAACACAUGCAAGUCGAACGAUGAAGCCGGGGCUUACUCUGGUGAAUUAGUGGCGAACGGGUGAGUAACACGUGAGUAACCCGCCCUUGACUCUGGGAUAACUGCGGGAAACUGUAGCUAAUACCGGAUACGACCCUCGGAGGCAUCUCCUGGGGGUGGAAAGAAUUUCGGUCAAGGAUGGACUCGCGGCCUAUCAGCUAGUUGGUGAGGUAAAGGCUCACCAAGGCGACGACGGGUAGCCGGCCUGAGAGGGUGACCGGCCACACUGGGACUGAGACACGGCCCAGACUCCUACGGGAGGCAGCAGUGGGGAAUAUUGCACAAUGGGCGCAAGCCUGAUGCAGCAACGCCGCGUGAGGGAUGACGGCCUUCGGGUUGUAAACCUCUUUUAGCAGGGAAGAAGCGAAAGUGACGGUACCUGCAGAAAAAGCACCGGCUAACUACGUGCCAGCCGCCGCCGUAA